rnacentral:rRNA from 1 species
CCUACGGUAGACAGCAGUGGGGGAUAUUGCACAAUGGGGGGAACCCUGAUGCAGCGAAGCCGCGUGGGUGUAGAAGCGCCCCGGCGCGUAAAGCCCUGUCAGCAGGGAGGAAAAUGACGGUACCUGAAGAAGAAGCCCCGGAUAACUACGUGCCAGCAGCCGCGGUAAUACGUAGGGGGCAAGCGUUAUCCGGAUUUACUGGGUGUAAAGGGGGCGCAGACGGCGAUGCAAGCCAGGAGUGAAAGCCCGGGGCUCAACCCCGGGACUGCUCUUGGAACUGCGUGGCUGGAGGGCAGGAGGGGCAAGCGGAAUUCCUGGUGUAGCGGUGAAAUGCGUAGAUAUCAGGAGGAACACCGGUGGCGAAGGCGGCCUGCUGGACUGCAACUGACGUUGAGGCCCGAAAGCGUGGGGAGCAAACAGGAUUAGAUACCCGUGUAGUC